CACUGAAUCAUCAACACACCUCUUGUAACACCUGGGGUUUUCUCUGGAAGUUUUCCAUUCCAAGUGUUGACAAAACCUGACCCUGGUUAAUCUGGAGGAUUGGAUGGGAUGGGAGUCAAGUAUGGCUGUGGGCCAGAGGGAAUGAACUCCAUGGUAAUCAUCAGUUUUACUCUGCUCUACAUAUGGCAAGAAGAGUUCUCUUAGUUUCCCCUUAAGGCUGAUUGAAAAGCUUCCAAACAAAAAGACUGCUGCUAUAAUAUUAGAGUUCAUGCAGUAUGGUGCAUUGAAUCUCGGGAUCUAAAAUAUCAGUUUCCUCUGAAGUCUCCAGCUGGAGAGCUUUUUCCUCUAUAACCAUCAUUGGUCUCCAAUCCAAAGGUCAAGUCCACAAGGCAUUGGGCAGAUAACUUCAUUGUGUAGCUGGGCUGAAAGACCAAGGUUCAACAAUGACCAUGGAGCAAAGGAUAAAUGGAAGAGAAGAGGAUCAAAGGAGGGAUAGCAUGGCUCCUUGGGGUGGACAGGUUGAGGAAAACUGACAACAGAAUGGAGAUAGAACUGCUCAACAUUUCUCUUCUUCCUCUUUUCGGCCAAAGAGAACGAUCUCUGUACGGGAAAGUGCAGAACAAAAGUUACUAAUCAGGAGUUGAAACCCCAGAGAAAUAGGAGAAAAUAUGACCCAUCCUAGAAAAUGAAAAGAACUGGAAGAUAUGCUUUCUGAAACCUUAUCAGUGGCACAUAAUAACUCCUCUGUUCUCCAUGGUCCCUAAAGGAGAGUUACUGCAGAAUAAGAAAAAGGCAAAUGUCCCAAUGCCUCCCCCUACCCUCCUUCAUCUGACAUUGGCAGGUGCAGAGCUGAUCAUCCUUGCUACAUCCUUAGUCUGAUCCACAUUCUAACCCCAAAGUAUCUCAAUGUAAUGGCAUGGAUGGCUGAAU